AAUCAACGCUGGCGGCGUGCCUCAGACAUGCAAGUCGAACGAUUAAGACUUCCUUCGGGAAGUGCAUAAAGUGGCGCACGGGUGAGUAACACGCAAGUAAUCUACCCUCGAGUGGGGAAUAACGUUCGGAAACGGACGCUAAUACCGCAUAACGCAGCGGCACCGCAAGGUGACAGUUGUUAAAGGAGCAAUCCGCUUGAGGAGGAGCUUGCGGCAGAUUAGCUAGUUGGUAGGGUAAUGGCUUACCAAGGCUACGAUCUGUAUCCGGUCUAAGAGGACGGUCGGACACACUGACACUGAAUAACGGGUCAGACUCCUACGGGAGGCAGCAGUCGGGAAUUUUGGGCAAUGGGCGAAAGCCUGACCCAGCAACGCCGCGUGAAGGAUGAAGUAUUUCGGUAUGUAAACUUCGAAAGAAUAGGAAGAAUAAAUGACGGUACUAUUUAUAAGCUCCGGCUAACUACGUGCCAGCAGCCGCGGUAAUACGUAGGGAGCAAGCGUUGUUCGGAUUUACUGGGCGUAAAGGGCGCGUAGGCGGCGCGGUAAGUCACUUGUGAAAUCUCUGAGCUUAACUCAGAACGGCCAAGUGAUACUGCAGUGCUAGAGUGCAGAAAGGGCAAUCGGAAUUCUUGGUGUAGCGGUGAAAUGCGUAGAUAUCAAGAGGAACACCUGAGGCGAAGGCGGGUUGCUAGGCUGACACUGACGCUGAGGCGCGAAAGCCAGGGGAGCAAACGGGAUUAGAUACCCCGG
rnacentral:rRNA from 1 species